rnacentral:rRNA from 1 species
UGAUUGAGGGGUCCAUCCCGGAUUACCAAUAUCAGAUAAACUCCGAAUGCCAAUGAGAUAUAAUCGGCAGUCAGACUGCGAGUGCUAAGAUCCGUAGUCGAAAGGGAAACAGCCCAGACCACCAGCUAAGGUCCCAAAAUAUAUGUUAAGUGGAAAAGGAUGUGGGGUUGCACAGACAACUAGGAUGUUAGCUUAGAAGCAGCUAUUCAUUCAAAGAGUGCGUAAUAGCUCACUAGUCGAGUGACCCUGCGCCGAAAAUGUACCGGGGCUAAAACAUAUUACCGAAGCUGUGGAUACCUUUAUAGGUAUGGUAGGAGAGCGUUCUAUGUGCGAAGAAGGUGUACCGUGAGGAGUGCUGGAGCGCAUAGAAGUGAGAAUGCCGGUAUGAGUAGCGAAAGACAGGUGAGAAUCCUGUCCACCGUAAGACUAAGGUUUCCAGGGGAAGGCUCGUCCGCCCUGGGUUAGUCGGGACCUAAGGAGAGACCGAAAGGUGUAUCCGAUGGACAACAGGUUGAUAUUCCUGUACUAGAGUAUAUAGUGAUGGAGGGACGCAGUAGGCUAACUAAACCAGACGAUUGGAAGUGUCUGGCCAAGCAGUGAGGUGUGAUAUGAGUCAAAUGCUUAUAUCUAUAACAUUGAGCUGUGAUGGGGAGCGAAGUUUAGUAGCGAAGUUAGUGAUGUCACACUGCCGAGAAAAGCUUCUAGCGUUAAUUAUACUCUACCCGUACCGCAAACCGACACAGGUAGUCGAGGCGAGUAGCCUCAGGUGAGCGAGAGAACUCUCGUUAAGGAACUCGGCAAAAUGGCCCCGUAACUUCGGGAGAAGGGGCGCUGACUUAUGGUCAGCCGCAGUGAAUAGGCCCAAGCAACUGUUUAUCAAAAACACAGCUCUCUGCUAAAUCGUAAGAUGAUGUAUAGGGGGUGACGCCUGCCCGGUGCUGGAAGGUUAAGAGGAGUGCUUAGCGUAAGCGAAGGUAUGAAUUGAAGCCCCAGUAAACGGCGGCCGUAACUAUAACGGUCCUAAGGUAGCGAAAUUCCUUGUCGGGUAAGUUCCGACCCGCACGAAAGGCGUAAUGAUUUGGGCACUGUCUCAACGAGAGACUCGGUGAAAUUUUAGUACCUGUGAAGAUGCAGGUUACCCGCGACAGGACGGAAAGACCCCAUGGAGCUUUACUGCAGUUUGAUAUUGAGUAUCUGUACCACAUGUACAGGAUAGGUA